rnacentral:rRNA from 1 species
UUUACCUACGGGACGCAGCAGUGGGGAAUAUUGGGCAAUGGACGCAAGUCUGACCCAGCAACGCCGCGUGAAGGAAGAAGGCUUUCGGGUUGUAAACUUCUUUUAAGGGGGAAGAGCAGAAGACGGUACCCCUUGAAUAAGCCACGGCUAUCUACGUGCCAGCAGCCGCGGUAAUACGUAGGUGGCAAGCGUUGUCCGGCUUUACUGGGUGUAAAGGGCGUGCAGCCGGAGAGGCGAGUCAGAUGUGAAAUCCGCGGGCUCAACCCGCGAACUGCAUUUGAA